CUGUGCUAUGCUUGUGAAGUCAACAGGAUUCCUGCUGUUGGCACCGCUGGGCGCAGCCUGCAGCCUUUCAGAGAUUUGCAGACGUCAGGAGGAGAGCAGCCGGAGCCGAUCUCGCCCCCGUUAUCCGGCGUGCCAGGCGCAGCCGUCGUCCAGGAGGCCAUCACCCGUCCUCGCCCUGCGCGUCGGAGCGGCUGAGACUUCGCUGAUGGAGAGCUCAGGGCUGCCCGCGUUCAGCUGCCAAAAGUGGACAUCUUUUAUGGAAUUUUGCCCGACUUUGCUAAUGGUUUGCUGAAACUGCAUCGUUUGGAUGAAUUCUGAAGUAUCAGCUUUGGUUGCUCCUUUGCUCAGCACCAGAUCCGUUGGGUCCUUCAUCUCAAGAAGACUGUUUUCCCUCUCCUGCCCUCAUCUAUCCAGAUCAGAUGCCUUUUCAAGCAAGGACUGAGAAGGGACUGAAGAAGAUGAGGACUUCAAUCUCAAGUCAUAUGAAACAAGAAAUAAGAAUAACUGGAAAUCCAGGAUGAGCACCCAUGGAAUACAGGCUGCUAAGGAGCAGGUGUAGCACAGAUGCAUUCAAACCAUGCUAAACGCAACAGAGCCCAGCGCUUGCACAGUCCUGCCUCUGCACUCUGUUUGGCCCCAGAAACGCUCAGAUACCAUUGAGUGGUUACAUGUGGUGAUGCUCAGAACCGGUUUGUAGCUCACUCUUGCCGAUCUUUGAUUAUAAUGGAGAAAGUACAGCAUGUGCCAUAGAAGAUUACACACAUCCUGCCACACUCCGCAGAUGGCUGAUACAAAAAUCAGAGACAAUACUAAAAUAAUUAAAAAGCCCACAAAAAUAAACCAGUGCUUUCAGCUCCUUUGUGAGGCUGUGGCUAAGGAAACUGAGCCAGCCAGGCUGAAAUGCACAAUAUAAAUGUAAGUAGAUCUUAUUAAGAUUCUGUGUGGCUGUUAAAGCAUCCUCAGCUCUUGCUUCCAGCUUAGCAUCACGACUAAUGGGGAAGAGAAGGAGAGAUUAGUUUAGGUUACUUUGAGACACCACAGAUACACACAGGAGGCAUCCGCUGUUGCUUAAACUUGUAUUUCACGGACCUGCUAUGUGAUGAGCGGAGUGCCAAAAAUACAGAAGAGUUGGCACAUAAAAUCCAUGUCUACUUUAUCUACUCUGUCAAGACUAAAAAAAGUCCUGAAUGAGCCUUGGAGAGUCAACAAAUCACUGCAACAGCAGCUGAAGAAGGAAGUUCAGCAUGAGUUCAGCUCAUUAGAAUUCCCUUUAACGUGCACCCUCGCAGGCCAGCGAGCUGCACGGGAUUUCGGCGAGCGGAAGGAUGCGUGUGAACUCGUCAGCAAGCAGAAAACGGACAAGGUUGAUGUGACUGACCUUCAGUGUUGAAGCCUGAUCGUUCCUGUCAUUUGAGAUGGCGGUGCAGGAAGAAAAGGUCACUGGGUGCACCUUUGAUUUGGAGAGGGUGAGAAAUCAGCUUUUUGCACGGCUUUCUUGGGCAAAUCCACACCUGUCUGCCGAGAAGCAUGUUGUAUUUAUUUCUUGGUCUUUUGCUUGUACUAACACGAGGCCCUAAAGGGGAGAGCAGCUAGGUAGAGAAGUGGCCAUUGCAGAGUAUAAACACGUGAUCAUUCAUUUAGAAAAUGCCCUUUCCUCCUGGCAAUAUUUGGUUAAAAAGCAGACAAGGCCUAUGAACAAUGAAUACUCUCCUUUUUUGUUUUUCCAUGUACAUGAUGCAAAAAAAAAGACUUAAUCCUGCAGUGCGUACGUUGGGCAAACUUCUCAUUGACUCCAAUGGGAGUUUUGCUCAGGAACUGCAAAACAGGCCCAGUAACGUUAUUUCCAUUUAUUCAAUAGUUCUGAGAUUGAAAACGAUAGAGACUGGGCAAAAGAAAUAGCAGGGGCAUCUCAUAGCCAUGUGUCGCUUCAUUAAACAUCUGAAAACGGCAAUGAAAAAGCAGAGAUUGCAGAAUGAGAUUUCCAGACAGCAGAAUGAUAGCAUAAAAGACUGUACUCCGCUUGUACAAUAUACAGGCGGUCAGAAAAAUAAAGGCAGCAAAACUAUCUUGCAUUAUAACAGACAAGGAUUUUCAUAGCUAUUAUUUUGGAUACACAGGAAGUGGAAAACUGCUUCACACAAGAGAGUCACUUGUUAACUUUGGACACCUAAUAUGUGAAUGCGUAACUCAGAUAAAAAAUCACGUGGCUUUAUCCUUCUCCUUAACAGGAAAUAUUUGCAUUCAGAAGCUCAAGACGUAGCAUUGAGUAGCUAAGGAAUAUAUGACAAAAUAUUGUAAUGCUAAUUGACAUCGUGUGCAAGAAAAUUAGUCCUUACGAGACACAUUAUUGGCCUUUGUUGCUGUUUUAAAUAGAAAAGAUUUGAUCAAUCUUUGCCCUGUCAGUAUGGGAAGAAGUGACUAGAAGAUGAAUUCAUUCAAAGCUUUCUGAAGAUGCGACAGUUCCUGAAGGAAGGGUUGCUUUUUAUCCUUGCAGAAAGGUGCCAGCUGGCCAGGAGGGGCAGAACAGUCAUCCCAUUUUCAGAUCCAUCUUUCGGAAGUCAUCCAACAUCUCAUCCCAUGCUUUCUGAGUCAUGACAAAGAGAUAUGGAUAAAGCAGUCGCAGAAUUUAUUAAGUCUAUAGGGCCUUGGUCUGAGUGACUUCUCUUUGCUUGCUAUUUUCAGUAACAGAGGCCUUGAUACUUUGCACUGAAAGGGUCCUACAGCUGAACUGAGUGGGUGACCUUGAUAGUGGUCAUGGUCAGCUAAGCGGGGGAAACAGCACUGGGCAACCCGAGGCUCAGGACUGAGCUCCUUGAGGAGCCCAGGAGACACCCCCAGGCCUGGAAACGCCCACUCCCGCAAGUAUCCCUGCCGGUCCUAAAUAUGCAGAACCUGCUUCUGCCCCCGAACUGUUGGUAUUUCUCCCUCGCUGCUUCUGAGAACUGCUUUGAAUUUGCAGAGCAGGACCAUUAGGCAUUCGCAUCAGAGAGAAAAAAAAAAAGUGAAAAUAUUUCCUCCCCAAACAAAAUUCAGAACGGUGGCUUCAACUUGUUGAAUCCAUUCAUGACCCCAGAUAGAUCGCCCCAGCCACACAGUUUAGCUUUUGAAAUACGGCAUUAAAUUUGAGGGUAAACAGUAAAUAACUAAAAUGCUGGCGGCAGCAGUCUUGCGGCCCUCCUUAUCGACAGCUUGGCCCCGCUAUCACAAAUGGCCCCGCAGGAGCCGGUUGCUGGGCCAAGGCCGACCGGCCGCAGGGAUCGACGCUGCAGCGUGGAGGGCCGGGAGCUCCCAGCAGAGCCGGCAGAUCGAUGCUUCUGCCCUUUGAAAGCCCAGCUCUGCUGCAGGAGCGGCAGCUGGAAACAGGAAUGUGCUUGGGAUCUCGCUGUAAAAAAACAGGGCCUAACUCAGCGGCCGCCCCUGCGCUGGCAUCGCACGUGGUGCAGAAAUCCCCUCCCCGUGGCCCUGGCCCUCGGCUCCCCACCACGGCUCGUCACCCUGCCUCUGGCUAACGAACUCCCGCAAAACCACGUCCCCACCAAGAAAUGAGGUCUCAUGAGGCAAAUUAGCUAUUCCAGGAAAUUCAACGUAGCUCUGGCUCUGGGACCUUCCAGGUGGGGACGGCGCGUUGCUGAGCUCCCGCUGUCCUCUUGCGUCUCGCCCCGAAAGGCUGAGCUGGCGAACCAACGGCCCAAAGCCUCCCCAAACGGCAUGGGACGCCUCGCUGCUUCUCGCACGCGUCUGCUGGAGCUGCAAGCUUGGCAGCCCAGGAGGAGCCGGCACGCCAGGCAAGUGCCGGCACGUCGGCGUUUCCGUCACCCAGAUCUCACCUGCUCCCCAGAUGGGCCGCUGCUGAUGCAGGGCACCUCCUUGUUAGCUCUCACGUGCUCUCCGCCUCUCUUCGUUGUCUCAGGCUUUGCUUCCUUGCUUUGGCUGUUAAAGAGGACUUUUGCAUUGCGGUUUUGUCGCACCUGGAUCUGUACAGCGCUUUUCAGGUUAUGCAGUUCCCUGCACACCUUUGGUUUGUGCUGGCUGUGCUUUCUGUGUAAUUAUUGCUCACGUGAAGGCCUGGGGGGGAUUUGCUGUGAGCUCCCAGCCUUGCAGAGGGCUCCCGGCUGCUGCAGCCUCCAGCGACGCUGCAAAGCCGGGGUGAGCGUGGGGCAGUGAGGAGGGACGGCCUCGCGCCGGUAUCCAACUGAACUGCCCAGCGCUGCUGCUGGAAAGUAGCACAGAUCACAGUCAUAAUACAGCCCACGGCCUCUGGAGCCCAGGCACAUUAGAGUCUAAAGAGAGAGAUAUGCUCCCUAAUGGACACACGCAGGGUUUUCGAGCAUCUGUGCAUCUUUCUCUGAUUGUCAGCCGCGGAGCCGGCGCUUCGCCGUGCGCUGGGCUCGCUGCUGCAAGCUGCCACCGGCUCGUCCCAACUUCCUUGAUUGUAUCUGUGCCCAUCGCUCGCUGCUUGCGAGAUGAAAUGGAAGGCAGCAGCAGCGAUGAAGAUUAAAUGAGCAGCGAGCGGAGCCUGAGCUGAAUUUAGGGAGGGUAAUUAGCGGUGCCGGUGCUUCUAAUGAGAGUAAGGGGGUUUCGCUUUCUUCUAUUAUCCGCGUGGCACCGGGGGAAUGCCAGGCAACUCCCUCCUGAUCCUCCUCUAAUUAAAAGGUUUUUCUGAGUAAGGACGGGAAGGUAUGAAGAAGUGAUAAAUUAAAGCUUGUAAGUUCCUCGCUCUGUGCUCAUGCUGCAGCAGUAAAUAGAUUCUGCCUCUCGCAGCGAGGCCGGCAGAGAGACCGCUGCUUUCCGGUUGCAAACUGCUGUUUGUAGUGCUCUGAGCAGCUGAGGAGGCCGACUGCCGUGUUUUCCCACCCAGCUCAGUCCCGAGCACAGGGCUCUGCUGCGUCCCGCUACUCAGCUAACUGCCUGGCUGGACACGGGGCCAGGAGACGUCUCCUGAGCAAAGCAAAAAGAAACGUGCUGAGCGUGGUAGGGCUCUGCUGGCAUUAGCAGAGGAAAGGAAGAGACUUGCUGCCUUCUAGCAGUCAAAAGUAAGGGUAGAGUGGCUUCGAGCACUUGUGGCAGCCCAUGGGCUGCACUGGCCUCUCUUUCCCAGUAUGCAGGGUGAAAAAUGCAGCUUUUCUGCCUAAUUACAGUGUCUGGGCUUCCACCUGACAUCUCCCUGUGCGUUGCUCACGGCAGGCCAGAGAGGAGUGGAGGUGCCUGGCAGGUCCCAAGGAUGGAGCAGGAGGAGGCUGAAACCCUCUCGCCCUGGCGGGUGCCGCGGCCCUACCCUGGCAGCUGCAGCAGACCGAGCCGGGGCGAGCGCCGUGCCCCUGCUCCCCGCUGACCUCCUCGGCGCUGGGCUCGUGGCUAAGGCACUCGGGCAGAGCACAAAAACCAGGCAAAAAUGCUUCAGGUGCAGCAUAAGGGAUGGUUUUUGAAGUUUUCUCUGAAACCUUUUUGUUUUUUUUAAAGAAGGUUUAGCUAGAAUGAAAUGCGAAAGGAGGGCUGUUUUCCUGCAGAAUGGGAUCUUUUCUUUUUUAAAAUGGAGUUGUAAGUGAGAUGACAUUUCAAAACAAAAUUAAAACCUGCUCCCCCCUCCAAUAUUAAAAGAAUGUCAAAAUGGAUUUUUUUUUAGGUUUAAAAAUCCAGCUUUUGGACCUGACCAAAGCAUCUUGAUGGUUCAAUAGCAUUUCAAAAUACUUGGGUACAUCCAAAUUUGCAUGUUUCGGGGAAAAAUUUUUUUUCCAAAAAUUGCAGUAAGCUCUCUGCAGAAAUCACUGCCUGGUCUGUCCUUGCGGUUUGAGGGAGGGUUUGUUCCUACAUCUCCUGAUAGAUUUUUUCCUUUAAAACGUAAAACUCAUGCAUGGUAUAGACACUUGCACCGAAGAGCACACGCCCUAUGAGUUUUCCAAGAUAAGUAUUUUAAAUCCAGCUUUCCCCAAAGCUCUAGACAUGCAUUAUUUACAGCUUAGAAUAAUAAUGUUACAAGCUGUAUUAUAUUAAAAUUGUUUCAUAAAAUAUUACGAUUAUCAUUUUUCGUAGCUUGACUUAAGGUGCACAAUUUAUAUAAAACAAUAUGAAUUAUUUUCUGUUACAAAAAUUAUUCCGUGUGGGCUCUGUGUAUUACAGUUAUUAAUCUUUCUAUUUAAAUGCAAAUUUUUCCUUUCAACUGAAAGCUAAAGAUACUUUUUAUACAACUAAUAAAACACAACUUUGAUCUUC